GACCUGGUGGUGGAUGGCAACACACCUGUUAGGCAUAGUGUAGAAGGCGCCUAAUUUGGCAGGGGAUCCCCGUUCGAAUCGGGGUCAGGUCA